rnacentral:rRNA from 1 species
GACGAACGCUGGCGGCGCGCUUAACACAUGCAAGUCGAGCGAGAACCAGGCCUUCGGGCCUGGGGCAGCGGCGAACGGGUGGAGUAACACGUGGGUAAUCUGCCCUCGGUUCCGGAAUAGCCCGGGAAACCCGGAUUAAUGCCGGAUAGCCUCUUGAGCUUUCGGGCUCUCGAGAAAAGGUAGCUUUGGCCUCUGACCGAGGAUGAGCCCGCGGCGGAUUAGCUUGUUGGGCCGGGGUAACGGCCCACCAAGGCAACGAUCCGUAGCUGGUCUGAGAGGACGAUCAGCCACACUGGGACUGAGACA